GACGGACACAGAGGCGGACUUGUCCAGCGUGGGCUCCAGACCGGCGAGCCGCCAGGUGUCCUGUUACAUCAGCAGUGACACCACCGAGCUGCCCGAGUUCAAACCCAACGCCAGCUUCAAGUCAGACUCCGGCAUCUUCGAAAAGACGUCCAAUGACACUGACGUCUCCGCGGCGGUAGUCGGUGAACGUGGAAGCAUCCCAGAUACAAAAAUUGCAGAGGCACACGGGAGGAAAAGCACGAUUGGUCGAGUCCCGAGCAUCGUCGUCACGUCUGAGUCCAGUCCCUUCCUUCCCAUUGGACGAAAGGGUUCCACUGCCCGCCCGAAGACAGCCAAUAACAACAACACGGGGGCGGGGUCUGGGUAGAGCGCCUGCAGACGGCGUUCACCUGAAGCUCAGAAACAAAAAUCACACAUUCUCACUCCCACUCACUUGUUAUUGACGCAUAAAGUCUCCUUUGGCGUCACAUUUAGAUGCUCACGGUGUGGUGUGGCGCGCGGCAGCCUGAACUAGGGUUGGGUACC